GAAAAACUCUGCCGUGAAGUCCUGCCGUGAAGACGCUUCCGCGAACGCCAGAUCUCCCUUCAGUCAAUCUUCCUGCCGCAGCCUUCUUCCACGAACGCCAGACGCAAGACCUUCCCUCGGUCCUUGCCGUGAAGCCCUGCCGUGAAGACGGUUCCGCGAACGCCUUGCCGUGAAGCCUUGCCGUGAAGACACUUCCGCGAACACCUUGCCGUGAAGCCCUGCCGUGAAGACGCUUCCGCGAACGCCAGAUCUCCCCUCGGUCAAUCUCCCUGCCGCAACCCUCUACCGUGAAAACGCUUCCACGAACGCCAGGCGCCAGAUCUCCCCUCGAUCCUUGCCGCAGCCUUCUGCCGUGAAGACACUUCACGACACCUUGCCGCAGCCCCCUGCCGUGAAGACAACAUCUCACCGUGAAGUAUCUCACCUGCUGGCGACCUCCUGCCGUGAAGAAACAACCGCGCCGCGAACUCCAGCAACCUCCUGCCAAUAUUCUGUGAAUUGUAUACUCGCCGCCGUCGCAAGCACCCUCCUGCCUUGAAGACCUCUGCUGGCGACCUCCUGCCGUGAAGAAACAACCGCGCCGCGAACUCCAACAACCUCCUGCCUCGAAUCCCAACUGCAAUUCCAGUGAAAUCCCAGCCACGAACUUCAGCCUCGAAUCCCAGCCGCAAAUACUCUGUGAAUCUACAGCAGCUAAUUAUCUUUAGAUGGAGAAACAUGAAGUUGCUCGUCCCAUUAGCACCAUUCUCGAUGGAACUAAUUAUAUUACUUGGGCCCACCAAAUGAGGAGUUUUUUGAUAGGUCGAAAACUGUGGCGCAUCGUUACUGGAGAUAUCACUAAACCAGUCAAACCUACUCCUCCGAUGGACACCACUGAAAAUAUUGAUACAGACCCAUCUGAUGUCACUGUUCAAGAGACGACUGCAGAAACCGACAAAUACAUUGAACGUCUUGAGGAUUGGGAUAGCA
rnacentral:lncRNA from 1 species